UGUUUUUUAAUUUUUAUGUUUUAAGUUUACACAAUAUGUAUAUACGCACUUGGACUCAUAAUAAGACUCAUAAUUUCUCAGUAAACAAAAGCUCCAUUGAGAAAACGACGAGAACUCUUCCCUACAGAGUAUAUAAGCCCCAGAUCAUUACUGCCAGAGCACAUUAUUCGCUGAAUCUAUAACGAAGCAUCUACUACUGAUUUUAUUCAAAUAAAUAUUAAAGAUGGACAAAGCUGUACAAGACAACCGAAGAAAUCAGUGUAAUCCUGAUCAUAAGGAAACUGGUCCAGGACAUCAAGCUGGGUAUCACGGAAAAGGCGACAAAGCUGAUCGGGAUAACCACGCAAAUCAAAAGAAUCCAAAUAAUCCGAAGUACCCCGGUAA